rnacentral:tRNA from 1 species
GCCUCCUUAAUUCAGUUGGUAGAAUGAUAGUUUUGUAAACUAUAUGUCAUGGGUUCAAGUCCUAUAGGGGGCA